UACGUAGGUGGCAAGCGUUGUCCGGAAUUAUUGGGCGUAAAGCGCGCGCAGGCGGUCCUUUAAGUCUGAUGUGAAGGCCCACGGCUCAACCGUGGAGGGUCAUUGGAAACUGGGGGACUUGAGUACAGAAGAGGAAAGUGGAAUUCGACGUGUAGCGGUGAAAUGCCUAGAGAUGUGGAGGAGCACCAGUGGCGAAGGCGACUUUCUGGUCUGUAACUGACGCUGAGGCGCGAAAGCGUGGGCAGCAAACAGG
rnacentral:misc_RNA from 1 species